ensembl:misc_RNA Metazoa_SRP Metazoan signal recognition particle RNA
GCCGGGUGUGGUGGCUCAUGCCUGUAAUCCAAGCACUUUGGAGGCCAAGACGGGUGGAUCACCUGAGGUCGGGAGUUCAAGACCAGCCUGACCAACAUGGUGAGACCCCGUCUUAA